CACGUAGGGCGCAAGCGUUGUCCGGAAUUAUUGGGCGUAAAGAGCUCGUAGGCGGUCUGUUACGUCUGCUGUGAAAACCCGGGGCUUAACCCUGGGAUUGCAGUGGAUACGGGCAGACUAGAGGCAGGUAGGGGAGAAUGGAAUUCCCGGUGUAGCGGUGAAAUGCGUAGAUAUCGUAAGGAAGACCAGUGGCGAAGGCGGGUCUCUGGACAGUUCCUGACGCUGAGGCACGAAGGCCAGGGGAGCAAACGGG
rnacentral:rRNA from 1 species